UACAGAGGUGCCGAGCGUUUAGGCGGAAUCACUGGGCUUAAAGCGUGUGUAGGCGGACUUCUAAGUACCUUGUGAAAUCCCACGGCUCACCCGUGGAACUGCUGGGUAUACUGGUCGUCUUGAGCCACCUAGGGGCGAGCGGAACAAAUGGUGGAGCGGUGAAAUGCGUAGAUAUCAUUUGGAACGCCAACGGUGAAAACAGCUCGCUGGGGGGUGUGCUGACGCUGAGACACGAAAGCCAGGGUAGCGAACGGG
rnacentral:rRNA from 1 species